rnacentral:misc_RNA from 1 species
AUCUAGAGGGUUAUGACCAGGGCAUGUUUGUAGCUUGAAGCCUCAGAAACAUUGUUUCUGUUUGGAAUAAAAAGAAAUAAUAAUUGAACAGAACACAUGGCACUGUGAUAAAAUUGGCCAUGAACAAAUACUUUUUUGACCACACGAUUUCGUUCUGAUAUUACACUCCUAUACUAAUAUACUUCGGUAGGAACAGCCCCUGCAAGGCCAUCGGGCUACGCAGACAUCAGCGCAGCUCUUCCACAAUCGCAUUAGUAUACACAAACUAUGUACCAAACAAGCAGAUGCCCGUAUUAAAACCGACACAGGCAAGUGCCUUACACUACAAAACACAAUCAAGGUAGUGGCGGUAAUGUUUACGGUUGAACUCCAGUAAGCUACCAUAGGUUCGGUCAGCCACUCCAAUAAAGAGAGCUUCAGUAUCAGGACUGAAGGAUAUCCCAGCAAUCUCACCAAACAAAUCAAUCUCUUGACAGGUACCAUAAUCGGAUUGUGUAUCGAAUAUGUGGACAAAAUCAGCUGGCUCCGCCAUGGCCAUGAAGCGCCCAUCUGAUGUGAACUUGAUUGCACGGAUGGCUCCCAUCCUUCCUUUGAGCACUGCUAUGGACUUCGACGUGUUCCUUAUAUCCCACAAUCUGCAAGUUGUGUCUUGGUUACCAGUUGCCAAAAUUCUUCCGUCCGGGUGCCAAGCUGAUGAAAAUGAAUAAUCUAGGUGACCUUUUAGGUUGCUGACAACCUUUCCACUUUGAGCAUCAGCAAGUAGACAUUCUGGACUAUCACCAAGGAUAGCAAGCAAUUUAUCAUCGGGGCUUACAGAGGUGUUGUUAACAGACCAAGGAAAUGCAUAAUGAUUGGUGCAAACGAAGCUUUUUGCAUCAAAAAUCCUGACUUGCUGAUCAUUAUUAGCAGUGAUCACCCUCAUUGAGCCAGUCGGACUAUAACUAAUAUCCACAGCAUUGGUGAUCGCAUUCUCUCCAAUACUUAUUUUUGUAGCGAAUGCAACUCCAGGUUGGUUUAAAUACUUACAGAUAAGCUCCCCUUGGAAACCCCCAGCAGCCAGCAAACCAUCUCUAACAGCCAUAGUGCUGAUCUGCACUCGGGGAAGUGUUUGAGACGCUGAUCCAGGGUAUUUCAUAGUGGGCGUCAAUGGCCUAGCAACAUUAAGCACUUCUUCCCCCUUUCCAAGAAGUGAGGACCAGUGCAUCACAGAGUAGUUUUGCAUGAGAUACACAUCAUGUUUUGAUGUCGACCACAAGAGAUUCCUCAAUCGUAUUAUGCAAGAGCUCAAUUGCCAGAAAAUCUUCUCUUUCUGAUGGAGACCGUGUAUCAGAUGACAGCUACCAGAGAAGAUGUACCAAAGAAGUCAUAUAAUUAUCAAAAUUGUGAAGUAACUGUGACACAGCAAUCAGAAUUCACAACCCACAAGUGGAAGUACUUAAAGAGAGCCUAGUGCAGAAUCCAUCUCUAACAAACAGAGAGAAAAAAAGUGCAACCAUCUCCAACAGAAGAGAUAACCAUAAACAAGAUAAUGACUACAACCAUCUUCAACAGAAGAGAUGACCAUCCAACUAUUCAAAUGAUGAAGCAACACACAAACAUUUUAAUACAUACUUGCUGCCAUUAACAAGUUAGCUCAAACUUAACAGAAGAAAUACCAUAAAGGCCUCUUAAAUUCACAGAUUAUUCCCUAUCAUACCAUAUGGAAAAUGCUUGCACCAGCUGCUCACAUAAUAACUGCAACCUGCUUGUAAGGCUGAAAGAUAGAUACAAUAACAAUGCACAUACAAUAUCUGGUUAUUUAUUUGAAAGAAAACAAUUCAAACAAACAUCAUUUACAACAAGAAUUUAAACACAACCACUUUCACAUAAUGACUAGCAAAAAAAUGUUCAUCAACUCAAACUCUUCUAGAGCAACAGCCGAGAAAGGUUUGCAAUGAACAAUGGGCCUUGAAUAGAAAGGGAUGAACCAUGCAGAAGAGGCAACAGAACUAGUUAACGACCAACUGAAAAUGGAGGACCACGACAGAUGAAUUGAAAUAAAAUCAAGAUUAUUCUCUAGAGGGACACACAAAAGAGAAUUGGAAGUUCGGAAAUUUCAACCAUCAGCCUCCACUGUUAUGUUUGACACUGCAAAAGUAGAUCUGUCACACAAGUAGUAGAAUGGAACAUAACAAACAACUUUGACUCAGAAGUCAGAACUAUAUUCUAUGUCAGCAAAAAACGACAAACUACAAAUCCAGCAUAAGCCAGGUUCUGUCCUCACUCCUAAGCUUCCAUAUCAAAACCCAGUCCUCAAAAUACAUUCAGCUGAUUCAUGAUGAAAUAUUCAAGAGUGAAGUUCCAAAACAAGGAUCUUCUACAAUUACAAAGUUCCAUAAGACACUUCUUUAAAUGUUUGUAAUCUGCAUAAAAAAGGAUAUUGUGAACACUGCUCUCUGAUCAAUACAUCAAUCGAGGCAGACUAAACUGCUAACUAAAAAAAUGAGUUAAAAAGUAAUUGCAGAAUAUAAGAACGGUUUCUAUGUAAAUCUUGUUUGCUUCGUCAUGUAGCCAGAAUAGCAUUACUAGAAGAAACUGGCAAAAGUCAAAUUCGGCAAUAUCUUUUGGAUUUCUGAACAGAAGAAGAAAAAGAAAUUAGCUGCAUCAAGAAAUAGUAACACUAAAUUUACAUCAGAUGCAAAUUCACCAGCUUGGAGGCCAUAAGAGGCAUCUCUCAAACAUACUGGAUCUGGUGAAUUAUUAUUCCAGAAAGCUGUCCACAAAUGAGUUAGACACACACAUAGUCAAUCUCUAAGUUGUUCCAUAUCAAGCAUCAAACUCACUGAAUUCUUCGAUGAGGAUGCAGACUCCAUACCUCUGGAAUUAAUGAAAGGGUGAACCAACAGCCUAACAGUUUAAAUCAAAAUAUCCAGAACAUUAGGAGCAGAGCACCUGCAGAAGUAUAGUUAUUGCAUGGAGAGGAGAAAAAGGCGACGCGGAUCAUCGACCAAAAGCUCACACAAUGGUUAGACUGUAAAUAACCAAAUCCUUUUAUACAUUACCAGUUUCAAAAAAAAAAUCCUUUUGUUUAAACUAACUCAUAAUGAUGUAAAAUAACAAACAACUAAAAAAACCAGUUAAAAAUGAAUGAGGAAAAAAAACAUGAAAGGCAAGAAUGAGAAAGGCAGCCAUGGGAGUCGUUUGCCAGGUUUAAUUGAAUAAUGCAAAAUGAGACAACAGAGACUAAAUCAAUCACAAAGAACUACAGGGAGGCAGACCAGUCCACGAUUUUCUUGAUCAAAGGUUAACAUAAAUCCAAACAAGAAAAGGCUAAAAAAUCUAUAUUACCUGAAAGUGCACGAUAGUUGAUUUGACGAGCCUUGUAUUGAACUGGAAGUCGUAGAAGCUGUGUCCUUUUCCUACUUCCUUGCACUCCUUUUCAAGAUCUUCACGAGAGCGAGACAGGCUCUCGUAGUUCUUAUACUGCUUCAACCUCGUCUCGCGGUACUUGUCUCUGGUAAAAUUAAGCCUUUCCCAAGGUAUUCCCUGUAUAUCCUUGCCAUUUCUAGCUUCUAUAGCUGAUGUAUCUAGCUUUGAUUUUCUCACUUCAAAAUCGUCCUCAAAUUCCGAGUCUGCAGAGAUAUCCGGGUCAGUACUUCGCGGCGAUUCACCCCCAAAAGUGCUGUCAUCAAAAUCAGUAGUGUCAUAGUACUCAUCCACCAUAUACUCCAACUCCUGAUUUUGA